GUGUACCUACGGGGGGCAGCAGUAGGGAAUCUUCCACAAUGGGCGAAAGCCUGAUGGAGCGACGCCGCGUGGGUGAAGAAGGUCUUCGGAUCGUAAAACCCUGUUGUUAGAGAAGAAAGUGCGUGAGAGUAACUGUUCACGUUUCGACGGUAUCUAACCAGGAAGCCACCGCUAACUACGUGCCAGCAGCCGCGGUAAUACGUAGGUGGCAAGCGUUAUCCGGAUUUAUUGGGCGUAAAGGGAACGCAGGCGGUCUUUUAAGUC
rnacentral:rRNA from 1 species